GGUGUGGCUCAGUGGUUGAGUGUCUACCUAUGAACCAGAAGGUCACAGGUUUGAUUCCUGGUCAGACCA
rnacentral:tRNA from 1 species